UACGGAGGGUGCAAGCGUUGCUCGGAAUCACUGGGCGUAAAGCGACCGCAGGCGGUCGGACAAGUCGGAUGUGAAAGCCCUGGGCCCAACCUAGGAAGUGCACUCGAAACUGCAGGGCUGGAGUCCUGGAGAGGAAGGCGGAAUUCUCGGUGUAGAGGUGAAAUUCGUAGAUAUCGAGAGGAACACCGGUGGCGAAGGCGGCCUUCUGGACAGUGACUGACGCUGAGACGCGAAAGCGUGGGGAGCAAACAGG
rnacentral:rRNA from 1 species